UACAUGGGGUGCAAACGUUGCUCGGAAUUAUUGGGCGUAAAGCGCGCGUAGGCGGUUACUUAAGUCGGAUGUGAAAGCCCUCGGCUUAACUGAGGAAGUGCACCCGAAACUGAGUAGCUAGAGUACGAAAGAGGGUCGCGGAAUUCCCGGUGUAGAGGUGAAAUUCGUAGAUAUCGGGAGGAACACCGGUGGCGAAGGCGGCGACCUGGGUCGGAGACCGUGACGCUGAGGCGCGAAAGCGGUGGGGAAGCAAACAGGGG
rnacentral:rRNA from 1 species